rnacentral:rRNA from 1 species
AAUUAACGCUAGCGGCAGGCAUAAUACAUGCAAGUUGAACGGCAGCACAGGUAGCAAUACUGGGUGGCGAGUGGCGCACGGGUGCGUAACACGUAUGCAACCUACCCUAUACAGGCGAAUAACCUUUAGAAAUGAGGGCUAAUACGCCGUAGUAUUACAGAUGGGCAUCUAUUUGUAAUUAAAGAUUUAUCGGUAUAGGAAGGGCAUGCGUCCCAUUAGUUAGUUGGUAAGGUAACGGCUUACCAAGACGAUGAUGGGUAGGGGAUCUGAGAGGACUUACCCCCACACUGGUACUGAGACACGGACCAGACUCCUACGGGAGGCAGCAGUAAGGAAUAUUGGGCAAUGGCCGCGAGGCUGACCCAGCCAUGCCGCGUGCAGGAAGACGGCCUUAUGGGUUGUAAACUGCUUUUAUACGGGAAUAAUAGAGUGUACGCGUACAUUUAUGCAAGUAUCGUAUGAAUAAGCAUCGGCUAACUCCGUG